rnacentral:rRNA from 7 species
GAUACGGGACUCAUCCGAGGCCCCGUAAUCGGAAUGAGCACACUUUAAAUCCUUUAACGAGUAUCCAUUGGAGGGCAAGUCUGGUGCCAGCAGCCGCGGUAAUUCCAGCUCCAAUAGCGUAUAUUAAAGUUGUUGCGGUUAAAAAGCUCGUAGUUGGACUUGUGUCCCACGCUGUCGGUUCACCGCCCGUCGGUGUCUAACUGGCAUGGUUCGUGGGACGUCCUGCCGGUGGUGGCGAGUCGAAGGAGCGCGCCCGUCGUGGUUCACGCCGCGAUCGAGGUUGCGGUCUGUAGACGGACCCCGAUGAAAUCCUACCGCGGUGCUCUUCACCGAGUGUCGAGGUGGGCCGGCACGUUUACUUUGAACAAAUUAGAGUGCUUAAAGCAGGCCUGUUGCGCCUGAAUACUGUGUGCAUGGAAUAAUGGAAUAGGACCUCGGUUCUAUUUUGUUGGUUUUCGGAACCCGAGGUAAUGAUUAAUAGGGACAGUCGGGGGCAUUCGUAUUGCGACGUUAGAGGUGAAAUUCUUGGAUCGUCGCAAGACGGACCGAAGCGAAAGCAUUUGCCAAGUAUGUUUUCAUUAAUCAAGAACGAAAGUUAGAGGUUCGAAGGCGAUCAGAUACCGCCCUAGUUCUAACCAUAAACGAUGCCAGCUAGCGAUCCGCCGAAGUUCCUCCGAUGACUCGGCGGGCAGCUCCCGGGAAACCAAAGCUUUUGGGUUCCGGGGGAAGUAUGGUUGCAAAGCUGAAACUUAAAGGAAUUGACGGAAGGGCACCACCAGGAGUGGAGCCUGCGGCUUAAUUUGACUCAACACGGGAAACCUCACCAGGCCCGGACAC